GCCUUCCUAGCUCAGUGGUAGAGCGCGUCACUAGUAAUGACGAGGUCGUCAGUGAGUAACACCCAUAUUCGAAUUGCAUAGAAGACAAAAGCUGACUUGCGGUUAAGGUUCAAUUCUGGCGGAAGGCA